rnacentral:rRNA from 1 species
GGAUGUGAUCAUACCAGCACUAAAGCACCGGAUCCCAUCAGAACUUCGAAGUUAAGCGUGCUUGGGCGAGAGUAGUAUUAGGAUGGGUGACCUCCUGGGAAGUCCACGUGUUGCAUCCC